UACGUAGGGUGCAAGCGUUGUCCGGAAUUAUUGGGCGUAAAGAGCUCGUAGGCGGUCUGUCGCGUCGGCUGUGAAAACCUGGGGCUUAACUCCGGGCUUGCAGCCGAUACGGGCAGACUAGAGUUCGGCAGGGGAGACUGGAAUUCCUGGUGUAGCGGUGAAAUGCGUAGAGAUCGGGAGGAACACCAGUGGCGAAGGCGGCUACCUGGACCAGCACUGACACUGAGGCACGAAAGCGUGGGGAGCAAACAGG
rnacentral:rRNA from 1 species